CAAUUUUUCAUUCCGAAACAACAUCAAUCGGAUAAAAGUUCAGCGUUUACAGAUAUCCAGUCCAUGUAUGCAGUUGGAGCUGAUAGCAUGUAUGCAAUGUACAUGUACAUGUAGAGUUACACGUUCAUCAUGGAUAUUUCAAUGUGGCCGUCAUUUGAACCUCAAACUGUUGUGUAAAACAAACUAUGGGAAAGGGUUAAGCAUGAAGAUGUUAUCAUCUAGUGAACCACCAAACUAAUUUACAUUUCGUGGACAUUAACAGGAGUCAUCAGGAACACAUGAUUGCAGUCUGUGCCAAAGUGUUUGAAGAAAUUGUGUUUAUCAUUGAAAUAAAUGUGCAGUGGUUA